CUUGUUCUCUCUUAUCAAUGUGCUUGUUCAUGCCAAUCCCGUCAUCGAUAUCUCCUCCUUUAUAGGCUGCUUCUGUCGGCUUUUCUUGUGUGGACCUUCCUUCAUGGACUGUCUCUCUCACAAGGGAUAGAGAGGGAUCCCAUAUCUUUGUUCACCGACGCUAUCUGGUUGGCUGCUCCAACUCCAGACCCUUUGUUAAGUUAGGUAAACGCCUUGUCGGUUCAUCUAAAUGCUUGGUGCUUUAAUAUGCUGGCUACCCUCUGUUUCCAUAUAUAGCUAUAUCUGCAUACUUUAAUUUGUGUUCAUAAUUUCCACGCUCCACCUUCAGAUUAUCGCUUGAUGUGAUCAUAAUUUCCCAAAUCUAUUACUUCCACCAAUUUCAAGAA